rnacentral:rRNA from 1 species
GACAGAGGAUGCAAGCGUUAUCCGGAAUGAUUGGGCGUAAAGCGUCUGUAGGUGGCUUUUUAAGUCCGUCCGUUAAAUCCUAGGGCUCAACCCUGGACAGGCGGUGGAAACUACCAAGCUGGAGUACGGUAGGGGCAGGAGGGAAUUUCCGGUGGAGCGUGAAAUGCGUAGAGAUCGGAAAGAACACCAACGGCGAAAGCAACUCUGCUGGGCCGACACUGACACUGAGAGACGAAAGCUAGGGGAGCGAAUGGG